rnacentral:rRNA from 1 species
GACGAACGCUGGCGGCGUGCUUAACACAUGCAAGUCGAACGGAAAGGCCCUGCUUUUGUGGGGUGCUCGAGUGGCGAACGGGUGAGUAACGCGUGAGUAACCUGCCCUUGACUUUGGGAUAACUUCAGGAAACUGGGGCUAAUACCGGAUAGGAGCUCCUGCUGCAUGGUGGGGGUUGGAAAGUUUCGGCGGUUGGGGAUGGACUCGCGGCUUAUCAGCUUGUUGGUGGGGUAGUGGCUUACCAAGGCUUUGACGGGUAGCCGGCCUGAGAGGGUGACCGGCCACAUUGGGACUGAGAUACGGCCCAGACUCCUGCGGGAGGCAGCAGUGGGGAAUAUUGCACAAUGGGCGGAAGCCUGAUGCAGCAACGCCGCGUGCGGGAUGACGGCCUUCGGGUUGUAAACCGCUUUCGCCUGUGACGAAGCGUGAGUGACGGUAAUGGGUAAAGAAGCACCGGCUAACUACGUG